rnacentral:rRNA from 1 species
GUCCUAGCCGUAAACGGUGCGCAUUUGCUGUGAGAGGAUUCGACCCCUUUCGUGGCGAAGCUAACGCGUUAAAUGCGCCGCCUGGGAAGUACGGUCGCAAGAUUAAAACUCAAAGAAAUUGACGGGGGCCUGCACAAGCGGUGGAGUAUGUGGCUUAAUUCGAUGCAACGCGAAGAACCUUACAUGGCCUUGACAUGCAAGUAGUAGAACCCUGAAAGGGGGACGAGGUAGCAAUACCAGCUUGCACAGGUGCUGCAUGGCUGUCGU